rnacentral:rRNA from 1 species
GAUGCGACCUCAGCUCAGGCGGGGCUACCCGCUGAGUUUAAGCAUAUCAAUAAGCGGAGGAAAAGAAACUA